UACAGAGGGGGCAAGCGUUGUUCGGAAUUACUGGGCGUAAAGGGCGCGUAGGCGGCCGCCUAAGUCAGACGUGAAAUCCCUCGGCUCAACCGGGGAACUGCGUCUGAUACUGGAUGGCUUGAGGUCGGGAGAGGGAUGCGGAAUUCCAGGUGUAGCGGUGAAAUGCGUAGAUAUCUGGAGGAACACCGGUGGCGAAGGCGGCAUCCUGGACCAAUUCUGACGCUGAGUGAGCGAAAGCCAGGGGAGCAAACGGG
rnacentral:rRNA from 1 species